UACGAAGGGGGCUAGCGUUACUCGGAUUGACUGGGCGUAAAGGGCGCGUAGGCGGCUUGUCCAGUCAGGCGUGAAAUUCCUGGGCUCAACCUGGGGGCUGCGUUUGAUACGUGCGGGCUUGAGUUCGGAAGAGGGUCGUGGAAUUCCCAGUGUAGAGGUGAAAUUCGUAGAUAUCGGGAGGAACACCAGUGGCGAAGGCGGCGAUCUGGGAAGAUACUGACGCUGAGGUGCGAAAGCGUGGGGAGCAAACAGG
rnacentral:rRNA from 1 species